CCUACGGGGAGCUGCAGUGGGGAAUAUUGGACAAUGGGCGAAAGCCUGAUCCAGCCAUGCCGCGUGUGUGAAGAAGGCCUUCGGGUUGUAAAGCACUUUCAGUGGGGAAGAAAGCCUUGGGGCUAAUACCCUCGAGGAAGGACAUCACCCACAGAAGAAGCACCGGCUAACUCCGUGCCAGCAGCCGCGGUAAUACGGAGGGUGCGAGCGUUAAUCGGAAUUACUGGGCGUAAAGCGCGCGUAGGCGGUCUGAUAAGCCGGUUGUGAAAGCCCCGGGCUCAACCUGGGAACGGCAUCCGGAACUGUCAGGCUAGAGUGCAGGAGAGGAAGGUAGAAUUCCCGGUGUAGCGGUGAAAUGCGUAGAGAGCGGGAGGAAUACCAGUGGCGAAGGCGGCCUUCUGGACUGACACUGACGCUGAGGUGCGAAAGCGUGGGUAGCAAACAGGAUUAGAUACCCCGGUAGUC
rnacentral:rRNA from 1 species